GGACGCCCGAGUACUUAACGGUUAAGAGGAUGAGACCAAAGGCGUUUAUGACUAUGGUUGCAAUGGAAAUGUUGAAGCCCAUCUCGUCCGGGGCGGUGGUGUAACCUGGAUAAGAACAAAUUUCCAAUUUUUACAAGAAAUCUAGCAAACUCGUAAGAAGAAACGAAACACUGGUGAUAAUUACCCAAAUAAAACUUGGCUUCAUCAAGGUACGCAGUUAUAGGGUAAUGGAAACAUCGGUGGAUAUUUGUAACCUGCAGGAAAGAGAAAAGUAAUACUACAGCUAAUUGAACAAGGUUUUCCCUGUAAUAGUCUCGAAGAGCUAGAAUCCCCUCCCCCACAGGACUAAUUUUGGCUCUGCCCUCUUCUGUGGAGAGAUAGUAGGAGGCUUGAACCCCAG